GACGAACGCUGGCGGCGUGCUUAACACAUGCAAGUCGAACGGAAAGGCCCUGCUUGCAGGGUGCUCGAGUGGCGAACGGGUGAGUAACACGUGGGUGAUCUGCCCCUUACUUUGGGAUAAGCCUGGGAAACUGGGUCUAAUACUGGAUAGGACCAUGCUGUAGGUGGUGUGGUGGAAAGAUUAGUUUCGGUAAGGGAUGAGCUCGCGGCCUAUCAGCUUGUUGGUGGGGUAAUGGCCUACCAAGGCGUCGACGGGUAGCCGGCCUGAGAGGGUGGACGGCCACAUUGGGACUGAGGUACGGCCCAGACUCCUACGGGAGGCAGCAGUGGGGAAUAUUGCACAAUGGGCGCAAGCCUGAUGCAGCGACGCCGCGUGGGGGAUGACGGCCUUCGGGUUGUAAACUCCUUUCAGCCAUGAGGAAGCCCUUGUGGUGACGGUAGUGGUAGAAGAAGCACCGGCUAACUACGUG
rnacentral:rRNA from 1 species